UACCACAGGGAUAACUGGCUUGUGGCAGC
rnacentral:ncRNA from 3 species